rnacentral:rRNA from 1 species
ACUUCAAGUUUUACCACCCUAAAAACCACCUGAUCUCAUCUGAUCACAGAAGCUAAGCAGGCUUGAGCCUGGUUAGUACUUGGAUACGAACAUCAAUACUUUUAGCA